rnacentral:rRNA from 1 species
GCGUAAGACUGUGCGAGGGGGCGGGGUAAUGCGUGGGACUCGUGGGUUAUGUGAGUUGAGUGGGGUGAAAGGGUGCGUGGGUGGAUGUUUAGUGCAGUGUGGGAAGUCUGCAGCUCAACUGAAACAUGGCCGUUGGAACGGUCGAGCUUGAGUGCAAAUGAGGUGGGCGGAAUGUGGAGUGUGGCGGUGAAAUGCUUAGAUAUGACGUAGAACACCAAUUGCGAAGGCAGCUGGCUAGCCGAAUAUUGACGCUGAGGCACGAAAGCGUGGGGAUCAAACAGGAUUAGAUACCCCAGUAUC